rnacentral:lncRNA from 1 species
UGAAGACAGUAUUUUUGCUCCAAUUUCGACUAAGAGUUGUGUUGGGGCAAAAUUCUGAGUAGUUAUGUUUUAGUGGGUUAAUAUGGAGUGAUUUUAGGAGAUAAUUGGGGAGAGGUUAUCAGAAAAUAAUCUGAUUACCUUUUUGCCGCAAAAUAAUAAUAAUAAUAGAGUAUCAGUUUUCUCUCCAAUUCCCCAAACUUUUUUCGACAUUUUCUUCUUUUUUUUCUCCUGUGUCGAUUCUUUCCCCUAGUUGCUGCUGAAAUUUCCAUUAUUUUUUUCCCUUUCCAUUUCUUUCUUUUUUUUUUCCAAUUGAUUUGGUUGUUCAUUUUUGGUUCGCGUGCUCGGUAAGUAACGGUUUUUUCUAUUGUUAAUCAUUCUUAGUUAAUCUCUAAAAGGGGUAUUCCUUUUUGGUGUUUAGGAGUUAAUCAAGGGGUUGGUCGUUUUGAAUCGAUGCUGUGAUUGUGCGAAGUCAUGGUUACUCAAGCGAGGUAAGGGUUUUGUUAGGUUUUUAGUCGAGUUCCUUCCAAAAUUGGUUGAUUAAAAAUGAAUUACAUGAUUAAUCUGGAAAUAUGUUGGUCGAUUUUUAGGUUCUAGAGGCUUAAGAGUGCUUAC